CACUAUUAAUUAUAUUAAUGUUUCUUAAUUAGAGGUUGGUGCAAGAUAUCCCCCGUCUGCCCAGAUUUGAUUACGCUGAGUUCGGUGAUUGACGUUGACGAACUGUCCGCCGUAAAAAGCAAAGUUCGCUAUAUCCCGCUUCAAGCGACAGCUGGCGCAAGCGAUCAGGCAGGGGCCGCCGAUAAUGACGGUGAUGAUCAGUUAUUGGCGCUUCCAUCUUUGUGUUCCCGAUGAAAUAUCAAAUAUUUCUUGUUUUGAAAAUUAUUUGUUUUAUUUUUUUCGUUUUCCCCUUGGCGUGAUUGGAAUUUUGGUUCUUUUGGCCGUGAAAUACAACCUAAUGUUGAUUUUGACCGUUAGAUGGCCGUUUAAGCGGCAAAAACUCCAUUUUGUUAUUUUUUUCAAAUAAGAAAAAGUAUCUUUCGAUAUUAGCAAAUAUGAGGGUUUGCAAAAUCCAUAAUGCAAACAAGGCUGUAUUUUUGCUGAUGAAUAAAGCAAACAGCUCUUCUGUUUUCCACCGCA